UCACUUGAUAGCUAUAACGCUAAGUCACAAUGAUGAAUCGGCGCAAAUAAAUUCAUCGGUUACCUAUAAUGAUCUUAUUUUUAUUUGGAAUUCUAGCCAUAACUUGCCAAUGAUAUUUUGAUUCUUAGAUGAAUUUACAAAUCAAUGAAGUAUAUUUAUAAAUGGGUAUUUUCUUAUUGUGAAAAGGAUUUUGGAGCUUGCAUCUGAUAUAUUUCAUGUAUUUCUAGGAUGGUGAUACACUGAAUUCAGGUCAAUUAAGUGCCAAGCAAGCAGAUCGAAAGUCUCUUCUGAAAAAGCUGGCAACAGAUCUAUGCACCAGUGAGCAAAGGAUACUAUUCCGUGCACAAUACAUACUAAGGAGGAGGUUGCAGGACAUGAGGAACGGAGAACUAAGAGCCUUAACAAUAUUAAAUGGGUUCAGAAAACUUUUCAAAUAAGGAUAGUGGAGAUCGUGUGACAUCCCGGAUCCUGUCAAUGAUAUGAUGUUGGAGCUAUUUUCAUACUUUUGUUGCUAAAUAUAUGUGAUCCGUCAGUGGAGGAUAACAAUUCUACUGUUGCUAGUAACUCAGUUUGUUGCUGUCAUUUUGUAAUGACGGAAACAGAUGAUCGAAACAACAGUGAUUAAUAAGUUCUGUUCUUUUGAACCGCCGUGGAGGCCAUUUUAAGCUAAAAACUCCGAAUCAUUAGGUGUCA